UUACCUACAUUAGGGGUAAUCACAGGGGUCAACCUUGCCGCAGUGCAAUGGCANGGCCUCGCCCUGGGGGAACCGCCUUCUUG
rnacentral:snRNA from 1 species